rnacentral:lncRNA from 1 species
UUAUUUCUUUUAUAGAGUAGGGGUGCGGAUGUAAUAAAUAGGUGUGUAAGUAGUAAGGGAUGCUAGGGGGAGUGUAGAUAGGAGUUAGGAGGUGCCAAACUAGGAAGGAAAGUCACACUUCCUUCAUGCACUAGUUGGCGCCGAAUUUGAGUGUCAUUUGGGGGACAUUUGGCUUUGCAUUUCAGCACCUUAUAGGCUAUAAAUAAAGGUGCUGCCCUUGUACAAAUCAGAUUUGGAAAUUAGAAGUAGAGAGACUAUACUCAAAUUUAGAGAGAAAUUGUGAGUCUUGUUGUCUUCUUCUUCCUUUGCCUUAUCUUAUGUGCCAAUGGUGAGCUUCAAGUGGCGGCAACCUUGCACUUAUCUUGGAACAAGACUCCAAGUGGCGUGACUGAAUUUCCAAAGUCUCAAAUCCAGCAAGCUUCAUUCCAUAAGUGUUCCUUCCUUCAUUUCUUUCAUUUUUAUUCGGUAGUUUCCAAUGCUUAGUGUUUUCCAUUCAUUUCCACC